UCAAUAAGCGGAGGAAAAGAAACCAACAGGGAUUGCCCUAGUAACGGCGAGUGAAGCGGCAACAGCUCAAAUUUGAAAUCUGGCGUUUCGGCGUCCGAGUUGUAAUUUGCAGAGGGCGCUUUGGCAUUGGCAGCGGUCCAAGUUCCUUGGAACAGGACGUCACAGAGGGUGAGAAUCCCGUACGUGGUCGCUAGCCUUUACCGUGUAAAGCCCCUUCGACGAGUCGAGUUGUUUGGGAAUGCAGCUCUAAAUGGGAGGUAAAUUUCUUCUAAAGCUAAAUACUGGCCAGAGACCGAUAGCGCACAAGUAGAGUGAUCGAAAGAUGAAAAGCACUUUGGAAAGAGAGUUAAAAAGCACGUGAAAUUGUUGAAAGGGAAGCGCUUGCAGCCAGACUUGCCUGUAGUUGCUCAUCCGGGUUUCUACCCGGUGCACUCUUCUAUAGGCAGGCCAGCAUCAGUUUGGGCGGUUGGAUAAAGGUCUCUGUCAUGUACCUCUCUUCGGGGAGAACUUAUAGGGGAGACGACAUGCAACCAGCCUGGACUGAGGUCCGCGCAUCUGCUAGGAUGCUGGCGUAAUGGCUGUAAGCGGCCCGUCUUGAAACACGGACCAAGGAGUCUAACAUCUAUGCGAGUGUUUGGGUGUCAAGCCCGAGCGCGUAAUGAAAGUGAACGGAGGUGGGAACCCUUCGGGGUGCACCAUCGACCGAUCCUGAUGUCUUCGGAUGGAUUUGAGUAAGAGCAUAGCUGUUGGGACCCGAAAGAUGGUGAACUAUGCUUGAAUAGGGUGAAGCCAGAGGAAACUCUGGUGGAGGCUCGCAGCGGUUCUGACGUGCAAAUCGAUCGUCAAAUUUGGGCAUA
rnacentral:sRNA from 1 species